GUGCCCGCCAUGCUGGUAUAAAUUUGCCAACACUUUCCUCAUCUGGGAGUGCCACCCCUACUGGAUAAAACUGAAAGAGAUUGUGAACUUGAUAGUUAUGGACCCUUUUGUGGAUUUAGCCAUCACCAUCUGCAUCGUCCUGAAUACACUGUUUAUGGCAAUGGAGCACCAUCCUAUGACACCACAAUUUGAACAUGUCUUGGCUGUAGGAAAUCUGGUUUUCACUGGAAUUUUCACAGCGGAAAUGUUCCUGAAGCUCAUAGCCAUGGAUCCCUACUAUUAUUUCCAAGAAGGUUGGAACAUUUUUGACGGAUUUAUUGUCUCCCUCAGUUUAAUGGAACUGAGUCUAGCAGACGUGGAGGGGCUUUCAGUGCUGCGAUCUUUCCGAUUGCUCCGAGUCUUCAAAUUGGCCAAAUCCUGGCCCACCCUGAACAUGCUAAUCAAGAUUAUUGGAAAUUCAGUGGGUGCCCUGGGCAACCUGACACUGGUGCUGGCCAUUAUUGUCUUCAUCUUUGCCGUGGUGGGGAUGCAGCUCUUUGGAAAAAGCUACAAAGAGUGUGUCUGCAAGAUCAACCAGGACUGUGAACUCCCUCGCUGGCAUAUGCAUGACUUUUUCCAUUCCUUCCUCAUUGUCUUUCGAGUGUUGUGCGGGGAGUGGAUUGAGACCAUGUGGGACUGCAUGGAAGUGGCAGGCCAGGCCAUGUGCCUCAUUGUCUUUAUGAUGGUCAUGGUGAUUGGCAACUUGGUGGUGCUGAACCUGUUUCUGGCCUUGCUCCUGAGCUCCUUCAGUGCAGACAACCUGGCUGCCACAGAUGAUGAUGGGGAAAUGAACAACCUCCAGAUCUCAGUGAUCCGUAUCAAGAAGGGUGUGGCCUGGACGAAACUAAAGGUGCAUGCCUUCAUGCAGGCCCACUUUAAACAGCGUGAGGCAGAUGAGGUGAAGCCUUUGGAUGAGUUGUAUGAAAAGAAGGCCAACUGUAUCGCCAAUCACACCGGUGCAGACAUCCACCGGAAUGGCGACUUCCAGAAGAAUGGCAAUGGCACAACCAGCGGCAUUGGCAGCAGCGUGGAGAAGUACAUCAUUGAUGAGGACCACAUGUCCUUCAUCAACAACCCUAACUUGACUGUGCGGGUACCCAUUGCUGUGGGCGAGUCUGACUUUGAGAACCUCAACACAGAGGAUGUUAGCAGCGAGUCGGAUCCUGAAGGCAGCAAAGAUAAACUAGAUGACACCAGCUCCUCUGAAGGAAGCACCAUUGAUAUCAAACCAGAAGUAGAAGAGGUCCCUGUGGAACAGCCUGAGGAAUACUUGGAUCCAGACGCCUGCUUCACAGAAGGUUGUGUCCAGCGGUUCAAGUGCUGCCAGGUCAACAUCGAGGAAGGGCUAGGCAAGUCUUGGUGGAUCCUGAGGAAAACCUGCUUCCUCAUCGUGGAGCACAACUGGUUUGAGACCUUCAUCAUCUUCAUGAUUCUGCUGAGCAGUGGCGCCCUGGCCUUCGAGGACAUCUACAUUGAGCAGAGAAAGACCAUCCGCACCAUCCUGGAAUAUGCUGACAAAGUCUUCACCUAUAUCUUCAUCCUGGAGAUGUUGCUCAAGUGGACAGCCUAUGGCUUCGUCAAGUUCUUCACCAAUGCCUGGUGUUGGCUGGACUUCCUCAUUGUGGCUGUACCAUUAAAUUUGUCUGGCUUAAUUUAAUGGGGACUUCUGGGACCUGCAGAGACUGUAAAGGGCGAGGGUGGUGGUGAAUGCCUUGGUGGGCGCCAUCCCCUCCAUCAUGAAUGUGCUGCUGGUGUGUCUCAUCUUCUGGCUGAUUUUCAGUAUCAUGGGAGUUAACUUGUUUGCGGGAAAGUACCACUACUGCUUUAAUGAGACUUCUGAAAUCCGAUUUGAAAUUGAAGAUGUCAACAAUAAAACUGAAUGUGAAAAGCUUAUGGAGGGGAACAAUACAGAGAUCAGAUGGAAGAA
rnacentral:sRNA from 1 species